CCUACGGGCGGCAGCAGUGAGGAAUAUUGGUCAAUGGACGAGAGUCUGAACCAGCCAAGUAGCGUGAAGGAUGACUGCCCUAUGGGUUGUAAACUUCUUUUAUAUGGGAAUAAAAUGUUCCACGUGUGGGUUUUUGUAUGUACCUUAUGAAUAAGGAUCGGCUAACUCCGUGCCAGCAGCCGCGGUAAUACGGAGGAUCCGAGCGUUAUCCGGAUUUAUUGGGUUUAAAGGGAGCGUAGGUGGAUUGUUAAGUCAGUUGUGAAAGUUUGCGGCUCAACCGUAAAAUUGCAGUUGAUACUGGCAGUCUUGAGUACAGUAGAGGUGGGCGGAAUUCGUGGUGUAGCGGUGAAAUGCUUAGAUAUCACGAAGAACUCCGAUUGCGAAGGCAGCUCACUGGACUGCAACUGACACUGAGGCUCGAAAGUGUGGGUAUCAAACAGGAUUAGAUACCCUAGUAGUC
rnacentral:rRNA from 1 species